UACGUGGGGGGCAAGCGUUGUUCGGAAUUACUGGGCGUAAAGGGCUCGUAGGCGGCCAACUAAGUCAUACGUGAAAUCCCUCGGCUUAACCGGGGAACUGCGUCUGAUACUGGAUGGCUUGAGUUCGGGAGAGGGAUGCGGAAUUCCAGGUGUAGCGGUGAAAUGCGUAGAUAUCUGGAGGAACACCGGUGGCGAAGGCGGCAUCCUGGACCGAUACUGACGCUGAUGAGCGAAAGCGUGGGGAGCAAACAGG
rnacentral:rRNA from 1 species